UUUAUGGAGAGUUUGAUCCUGGCUCAGGAUGAACGCUGGCGGCGUGCCUAAUACAUGCAAGUCGAGCGAACGGACGAGAAGCUUGCUUCUCUGAUGUUAGCGGCGGACGGGUGAGUAACACGUGGAUAACCUACCUAUAAGACUGGGAUAACUUCGGGAAACCGGAGCUAAUACCGGAUAAUAUUUUGAACCGCAUGGUUCGAAAGUGAAAGACGGUCUU
rnacentral:rRNA from 1 species